GAAAUCCAGUGGUGUUUUGACAGCAGUUGUGAAAUGUUUUUCUAUCGUCCAGCUGCUGAACACCCAUAGGAAACCUGACCGUGUAGCCUUUACUCUUAUUUUAAAAGCGUCUUUUUAAGUGCCUAAAAGAAAGUUCAAGUUUCUUCUUCGUUACACUUCGGAUUACAUAACUUGGUGUACACUUGCAAAUGUUGCGCUCUUUUCGAGGUCACACCCGGGAGAGUUGGGAAUGGGAUCCGGACAGUAAAUCUCCUGAUGCUCAUCUUUCUCUGUGUCGACAAGCCGUUUAUUUUCAUGUCAGCUCUCUGCUGGACAGUCAAGGUACUGCUGGAGUCAGAGGCACCAAAGGUUUCACUCAUGGUGAGCAUUACUGGGAGAUAGAGUUCCUUGAGCCUCCGUAUGGGAGCUCUGUGAUGGUGGGGAUCGGUACCCAAAAUGCACUUCUUCACACAGGGGAUCAAAAGUUUGUUAACCUCAUAGCACGAUUUGUUCUUAUGUGACGGAAACGGGCUUCCAUGUGUUCCUCCUGGGAGUACUCCUUUUCAUCUUUAACCAAAUCAGCCCAGCCCAGCUCCACUCAGAACAGACAUAUUCUCCCUCGGGCUGAUUGUACUCGACAACCUAAAAGCGAAUUACAUCAUCUAAUUAUCUGUGGUGAAUUUUUGUCCCAUCAACACCUCCUAGGCAUCGACAGUGAGAGUUGGGGUCUGUCAUACAAAGGCUUCAUCUGGCAUGAUGGGAGAAGUCGUAAAUACACAGAGCCGUUUUAUGAAACGAAUACCGUCAUCGGGGUUUUGCUGGACUUGAGCGCUGGGACGCUGACGUUCUUCCGGAAUGGAGUGAACCUUGGGGUGGCCUUCAGCGGCCUGGAGCAGGUCAGCAAGGCUCUGUAUCCUCUGGUCAGCUCUACUGCCCCUGAAACUGAGCUUCAGCUGGGUGUGAGGAGCCAGAGAAUCUCCUCCCUACAGGAACAGUGCAUACACAUAAUCACGCAAUCCCUUUCACAUUACAGGCAUGCACAUGAAUUACCAUUACCUACAUCUCUGCUCUGCCAAAUACACACACAGGCGCAUUUAUAAGCAGGGCACUGCCUGUUUUUCUAACUUCAAGUAACACAAUUCCAUCCAGUGUAACGCAUCCAUUUUAUAUGAAGCCUACCUCAAACAUGUAUAUUUUUAAUACAUAAAUUGAACAAAAAACAGCAUGUGUGACCUUUGUAAUCAUGUAUUAGUUUAUAUACAAUUUCUGCACUUUCUAGAUGAGGUUGUUUUGCAAUGAUCAUGUUCCAAAAUAAGAUGUAAUUACCAGUGUUUGUAAUUAGUUAGUUUUUUUUUAUACUCACAGGGUACGUAUUUUGGUGACAAAUACGUAAAUUAGAUAUCUGCUUUGUUAA